AGUGAACGCUGGCGGUAGGCCUAACACAUGCAAGUCGAACGGCAGCACAGUAAGAGCUUGCUCUUACGGGUGGCGAGUGGCGGACGGGUGAGGAAUACAUCGGAAUCUACUUUUUCGUGGGGGAUAACGUAGGGAAACUUACGCUAAUACCGCAUACGACCUACGGGUGAAAGCAGGGGACCUUCGGACCUUGCGCGAUUGAAUGAGCCGAUGUCGGAUUAGCUAGUGGGCGGGGUAAAGGCCCACCAAGGCGACGAUCCGUAGCUGGUCUGAGAGGAUGAUCAGCCACACUGGAACUGAGACACGGUCCAGACUCCUACGGGAGGCAGCAGUGGGGAAUAUUGGACAAUGGGCGCAAGCCUGAUCCAGCCAUACCGCGUGGGUGAAGAAGGCCUUCGGGUUGUAAAGCCCUUUUGUUGGGAAAGAAAAGCAGCAGGUUAAUACCCCGCUGUUCUGACGGUACCCAAAGAAUAAGCACCGGCUAACCUCGUG
rnacentral:rRNA from 1 species